UGUGACCUCACCUUCUCUCCCUGCUUAUCUUGGGGUUCCAAGGAGUUUCAAUGCCUUUUGUGCUGUCACAGGGGUUGGAGGCUGGUGUCAGAGAGCAGUGGGCUGUGACAUCACAGAGGGAUGCAUUGUGACAUUGUGCCCCUCAAUUCCAAGGAAUACUUUUGAAAACUACUUCCCAAAGUGAAUCUUUCUCCAAGCAGAUGGACUGGCAAAACCCAUAAUCUGUGAGCAGAAGACAGGAAUAUUUUUGCCUGUUGGAAAAAUGCCAUAGCAAUGUGCUCUUGACUAGGCGCACUCUUGUCCUUACCAUAAAGAAAAGACACUGAACAAAAUGAAA